AUUGAACGCUGGCGGCAUGCCUUACGCAUGCAAGUCGAACGGUAACAGGUCUUCGGAUGCUGACGAGUGGCGAACGGGUGAGUAAUACAUCGGAACGUGCCUAGUAGUGGGGGAUAACUACUCGAAAGAGUGGCUAAUACCGCAUGAGAUCUACGGACGAAAGCAGGGGAUCGCAAGACCUUGUGCUACUAGAGCAGCCGAUGGCAGAUUAGGUAGUUGGUGGGAUAAAAGCUUACCAAGCCGACGAUCUGUAGCUGGUCUGAGAGGACGAUCAGCCACACUGGGACUGAGACACGGCCCAGAAUCCUACGGGAGGCAGCAGUGGGGAAUUUUGGACAAUGGGCGCAAGCCUGAUCCAGCAAUGCCGCGUGCAGGAUGAAGGCCUUCGGGUUGUAAACUGCUUUUGUACGGAACGAAAAGCCCUGGGUUAAUACCCUGGGGUCAUGACGGUACCGUAAGAAUAAGCACCGGCUAACUACGUGCCAGCCGCCGCCGUAACAC
rnacentral:rRNA from 1 species